UAACACCCAAGAUACAUGCAUCUCGAAUCCAAUUGAAUAUUGUGAAGACUCGAAAUCAUUAAGUGAUAAAGCUGCUAAACUGAUAGAGUAUAUGGUUAGGGAUUAUAUGUGUCCGAUUGAGUGCAUACCUUUUCAUGAAAUUUUCUGUUUUAAAGAUGUUGACAAGCUUUGACUGGCUCUAAUUGGGGAACCUAGAAGAAGGAUUCAAGUUGAUAUUCUUGAAUUCCAGAAACUCCUCUGCUGCAGUUGCUGUACCCAUGGCAGCAGUGGCCUAUUACCAUCGAUGCAUGAUACAUCCAUUAUGUAUAAACUUGCUAAAGAGCAUGGCGACCUUAUUAAUCUCCACGAUUGGUACCAAUCAUUCAAAUCAAUAGUUCUCAGCCCAAGUAAAAGUAA